GAGGCUUUAGCUUAAUAAAAGCACUUGGGUUGCAUUCAAGAGAUGUGAGAUAAAGUCUUGCAAGUCUUA
rnacentral:tRNA from 1 species